rnacentral:rRNA from 1 species
ACGACUCUCGGCAACGGAUAUCUCGGCUCUCGCAUCGAUGAAGAACGUAGCGAAAUGCGAUACUUGGUGUGAAUUGCAGAAUCUCGUGAACCAUCGAGUCUUUGAACGCAAGUUGCGCCCGAAACCAUCCGGUUGAGGGCACGUCUGCCUGGGCGUCACGCAU